rnacentral:rRNA from 1 species
CUUAACACAUGCAAGUCGAGCGCCCCGCAAGGGGAGCGGCAGACGGGUGAGUAACGCGUGGGAACGUACCUUUUGCUACGGAAUAACUCAGGGAAACUUGUGCUAAUACCGUAUGUGCCCUUCGGGGGAAAGAUUUAUCGGCAAAGGAUCGGCCCGCGUUGGAUUAGCUAGUUGGUGAGGUAAAGGCUCACCAAGGCGACGAUCCAUAGCUGGUCUGAGAGGAUGAUCAGCCACACUGGGACUGAGACACGGCCCAGACUCCUACGGGAGGCAGCAGUGGGGAAUAUUGGACAAUGGGCGCAAGCCUGAUCCAGCCAUGCCGCGUGAGUGAUGAAGGCCCUAGGGUUGUAAAGCUCUUUCACCGGUGAAGAUAAUGACGGUAACCGGAGAAGAAGCCCCGGCUAACUUCGUGCCAGCAGCCGCGGUAAUACGAAGGGGGCUAGCGUUGUUCGGAUUUACUGGGCGUAAAGCGCACGUAGGCGGACUUUUAAGUCAGGGGUGAAAUCCCGGGGCUCAACCCCGGAACUGCCUUUGAUACUGGAAGUCUUGAGUAUGGUAGAGGUGAGUGGAAUUCCGAGUGUAGAGGUGAAAUUCGUAGAUAUUCGGAGGAACACCAGUGGCGAAGGCGGCUCACUGGACCAUUACUGACGCUGAGGUGCGAAAGCGUGGGGAGCAAACAG